AGAGCCGGCCGGGCGGUCGCGACGGGUCCCAGGACCCGCCGAGGAACGUCCGGGCUCCACAGAGCAGGGUGGUGGGUAACGCCCACCCGGGGUGACCCGCGGGACAGUGCCACAGAAAACAGACCGCCCGCCGCUUAGGCGACGGGUAAGGGUGAAACGGUGGUGUAAGAGACCACCAGCGACCGGGGUGACUCGGACGGCUAGGUAAACCCCACCUGGAGCAAGGUCAAGAUCGGCGCCCCAGGGCGCCGUGCGCGGAUGCUUGAGGGCUGCUCGCCCGAGUCCGCGGGUGGACCGCACGAGGCUGUCGGCAACGGCAGCCCUAGAUGGAUGACCGCCUCCCCGGCCCGCGCGAGCGGCCCGGGAGACAGAACCCGGCGUACAGGCCGACUCUUCCG
rnacentral:RNase_P_RNA from 2 species